AGGAAAAAACCCUACAUGCCUUCUUCAGGAAGUAGUCUGGAUAAUGUGACUUUAACUUCCAGACUGCCCCACCACCUUCUCCUCCGUGCAUUUUCUCAAAAGGGGCCGGAUCAGGAAGAGAGGUUUCUGACACCACUCUCCACAACCACGGUCACCACAGCUAAUGGGCUUUUCGUCGGAAAUCUAAUUUAAAACGGGAUGAGGCCAUCCACUCCUCCGCUGGCAGGGUGACGUCGGCCUCCCAUCGACUAUGGGGGGAGUGUCACGUCAAACUAACGCCACACCAGUGUUGAAAAUACCCUACCUGUGGAACAGAAAAUGUGAAUGAAUGGAGAAGCUGAACUCAUUUCUCUACGGGCCAUGUGUGUAAUAGAGAGCACUUCUGACGUUAAGGUCCUUUAGUGAAGAGUCAAUAUAGGCUUAUGUCAGUAAAUGUGGUGUAUUUUAAUGUCAGACAAUUCAUGAAGGUAUAUGAUUUUCUGCAAAUGUCAUCAUGCAAUCACAAACAUGAGUAGGCUAACAGUCUGAAUGUGCUGUGGACUCACUAACUUCACAUGUACACCUGUUAUAAGUCCAGUAAAUAUUCCCUUUGAGAAUAAUAAGUUCUGUUUUUGUUGAGACUAAGAAGUGUGCAAAUGGUGGUGUUACUGUUUUUGGUUUGCUUGUUAUUUUCAAGUCACUUUCAUUUAUACAGCCCGAUAUAAAAUUUGCUUUAAAAUUUAUACAGCUUACAACCCCCAUCUAGACGCUAUAUUCGUGAGGAUCUUCUAAAUAUACAAUUGAAUCUCUGCCUCCAGAAAAUCAUAAUAUCAUACCAUAAUGUUACUCUUUGCAGGACACUUGGAUUGUGUUAUUCUGUACAGGUGUCCUUUAAAAUUUGCAUCCUAUCUGUGUAAUUGUUACAUUUAAAUUAUCUAUUAAAUGUGCCUUUAGCAAA